UACGUAGGGUGCAAGCGUUAAUCGGAAUUACUGGGCGUAAAGCGUGCGCAGGCGGUUUUGUAAGUCUGUCGUGAAAGCCCCGGGCUCAACCUGGGAAUUGCGAUGGAGACUGCAAGGCUUGAAUCUGGCAGAGGGGGGUAGAAUUCCACGUGUAGCAGUGAAAUGCGUAGAGAUGUGGAGGAACACCGAUGGCGAAGGCAGCCCCCUGGGUCAAGAUUGACGCUCAUGCACGAAAGCGUGGGGAGCAAACAAG
rnacentral:rRNA from 1 species